UACAGAGGGGGCAAGCGUUGUCCGGAAUUACUGGGCGUAAAGAGCUCGUAGGUGGUUUGUCGCGUUGUUCGUGAAAACUCACAGCUCAACUGUGGGCGUGCGGGCGAUACGGGCAGACUUGAGUACUGCAGGGGAGACUGGAAUUCCUGGUGUAGCGGUGGAAUGCGCAGAUAUCAGGAAGAACACCCGUGGCUAAGGCGGCUCUCUGGUACGGUACUGACGCUGAGACGCGAAAGCGUGGGGAGCGAACAGG
rnacentral:rRNA from 1 species